rnacentral:rRNA from 1 species
UAAUACGUAGGGGGCAAGCGUUGUCCGGAUUUAUUGGGCGUAAAGCGCUCGCAGGCGGCUUGCCGCGUCGUGCGUGAAAGCCCCCGGCUCAACCGGGGGUGGUCGUGCGAUACGGGUAGGCUUGAGGUAGGUAGGGGGACGCGGAAUUCCGGGUGUAGUGGUGGAAUGCGUAGAGAUCCGGAGGAACACCAGCGGCGAAGGCGGCGUCCUGGACCUGGCCUGACGCUCAGGAGCGAAAGCGUGGGGAGCGAUCCGGAUUAGAUACCCGGGUAGUCCACGCCGUAAACGAUGACGACUAGGUGUCGGGGGUAUCGACCCCCUCGGUGCCGCAGCUAACGCGCUAAGUCGUCCGCCUGGGGACUACGGCCGCAAGGCUA